rnacentral:rRNA from 1 species
GACGAACCGUGCGAACGUUGUUCGGAAUCACUGGGCUUAAAGGGCGCGUAGGCGGACUGCCAAGUCCGGGGUGAAAUCUUUCGGCUCAACCGGAAAAUAGCCUCGGAGACUGGCGGUCUAGAGGGGGGUAGGGGCAGCUGGAACUUCCGGUGGAGCGGUGAAAUGCGUUGAUAUCGGAAGGAACGCCGGUGGCGAAAGCGAGCUGCUGGACCUUUUCUGACGCUGAGGCGCGAAAGCCAGGGGAGCAAACGGG